UACGGGGGGAGCAAGCGUUGUUCGGAUUUACUGGGCGUAAAGGGCGCGUAGGCGGUCAGCACAAGUCAGCUGUGAAAUCUCCGGGCUUAACCCGGAAAGGUCAGCCGAUACUGCGGGGCUAGAGUGCAGAAGGGGCAACUGGAAUUCUCGGUGUAGCGGUGAAAUGCGUAGAUAUCGAGAGGAACACCUGCGGCGAAGGCGGGUUGCUGGGCUGACACUGACGCUGAUGCGCGAAAGCUAGGGGAGCGAACGGG
rnacentral:rRNA from 1 species